AGGUUAAGUUAAUAAGGGCGCACGGUGGAUGCCUAGGCACUAGGAGCCGAUGAAGGACGUGACGAACGACGACAUGCUUUGGGGAGCUGUAAGUAAGCCUUGAUCCAGAGAUAUCCGAAUGGGGGAACCCAACAGGUAAUGCCUGUUAUCCAUAACUGUUAAGGUUAUGAGAAGGAAGACGCAGUGAACUGAAACAUCUCAGUAGCUGCAGGAAGAGAAAGCAAGAGCGAUUGCCUCAGUAGCGGCGAGCGAAGAGGCAGGAGGGCAAACCAGAGUGUUUACACUCUGGGGUUGUAGGACUGCGAUAAAGCAGCCAAGGGAAUAGAAGAAGACUCUGGGAAGAGUCGCCAGAGAGAGUAAGAGCCUCGUAUUUGAAAUUCACUUGAUGCCAAGCAGGAUCCUGAGUACGGCGGGACACGAGGAAUCCCGUCGGAAUCUGGGAGGCCCAUCUCCCAACCCUAAAUACUCCCUAGUGACCGAUAGUGAACCAGUACCGUGAGGGAAAGGUGAAAAGCACCCCGGAAGGGGAGUGAAAGAGAACCUGAAACCGUGUGCUUACAAGAAGUUCGAGCCCGUUAAUGGGUGAGAGCGUGCCUUUUGUAGAAUGAACCGGCGAGUUACGUUUACGUGCGAGGUUAAGUUGAAGAGACGGAGCCGUAGGGAAACCGAGUCUGAAAAGGGCGGUUAAGUACGUAGAUGUAGACCCGAAACCAAGUGACCUACCCAUGAGCAGGUUGAAGGUGCGGUAAAACGCACUGGAGGACCGAACCAGGACACGUUGAAAAGUGUUUGGAUGACUUGUGGGUAGCGGAGAAAUUCCAAACGAACUUGGAGAUAGCUGGUUCUCUCCGAAAUAGCUUUAGGGCUAGCGUCGGUCGCGAGACUCUUGGAGGUAGAGCACUGUUUGAUUGAGGGGUCCAUCCCGGAUUACCAAUCUCAGAUAAACUCCGAAUGCCAACGAGUUAAGACCGGCAGUCAGACUGCGAG
rnacentral:rRNA from 1 species